GUAAAAUGUAUUGACAUAUUUUCUAUUGCAUAUAUAGUGAAGAACUGUAAGGAGGCCAAGAGAAAGAGGGUAAAAGAUUUCGUUUGGCUACAAAAGCUAGAGUAGAAGAGCUUAGAGAAAAUUUGCAAUAUCAACGGGCCAAGAAGGAUGAAUAUGCAAGAAUAGUUUCUCAACAAUCACUUGCUUUGGCAACAUUUGAAGAAAAAGUUAAUCAGGAGAUGGGAAACAAAGACAUGGAAGAGACCAUAUCAUUGUACAAAAGGGUUCUAGGCUUUCGGAUUGAGGGAGGUCAUGAUAACUAAUGGAAUAUUAAUUAUGAAACUGCUUUUGGUUUUAUUUUGAGGUUAUGAUCAUCUCAUUAACAAAGGUUUUCCAUUUAGGGGUCAAUCAGUAAAAUUAACUUGAAAAAUCUAAAUAAGGAGAACUCUUUCACCAUUAGGCGUGCAAACGAUGUUUAUACGUUGUUGGAUUGCACCCUUUACUUGGAUGGUAUCAAGGAGUUGAUCCAAGAAUUGAACUAAACAGAUGACUGUUCAAGUUUGUGGGAAUUAUGAGAGAAAAGUUUAAGCGGCUGCAUCAAUAGGUAUUCUAACUCAAGUGACUUCUCUUGCAGAUUCAUUGACAAUCUCUAGAUCAGCUCAAGCUUCAUCAAUUUCGAUUGAUAGUUGAAGUGAUUCUCCAGGAAAGGAAAAUGACCUUCAGAACCAAUCUGGAGAAACUUGUUGAUUUCCUAUAGAACUUAAUCAUGGGCGAGUAGGAACAUCAAAGGUC